rnacentral:rRNA from 1 species
ACGUUAGCGGCGGACGGGUGAGUAACACGUGGGUAACCUACCUAUAAGACUGGGAUAAAUUCGGGAAACCGGAGCUAAUACCGGAUAAUAUUUCGAACCGCAUGGUUCGAUAGUGAAAGGUGGUUUUGCUAUCACUUAUAGAUGGACCCGCGCCGUAUUAGCUAGUUGGUAAGGUAACGGCUUACCAAGGCGACGAUACGUAGCCGACCUGAGAGGGUGAUCGGCCACACUGGAACUGAGACACGGUCCAGACUCCUACGGGAGGCAGCAGCA